CGGAUCCGACUGCUAUCCGGGUAAGACUAAGCCAUGCCAGUUGAAUGGAAUCGCAGAUUCCAUGGCAUACUGCUCAGUAACAAGUGAUCAACUUACCCUGUAGUGGAGUAUAACCUCGGGAAACUGAGGCUAAUCCUCCAUAGUUGGAGCGUCCUGGAAUGGUGCUCCAUCGAAAGAUACGGCGUUAUGUCGCCGAUUCGCUGCAGGAUAGGAUCGCUCUCGAUUACGGUAGUUGGUGAGGUAAUGGCUCACCAAGCCUAUGAUCGAUAAGGGCCGUGAGAGCGGGAGCCCUGAGAUGGAUACUGAGACAAUGAUCCAGGCCUUACGAGGCGCAGCAGGCGCGAAACCUUUACAAUGCACGCAAGUGCGAUAAGGUUACCCGGAGUGCCGAGAGAAAAACUGUCGGCUGUUAUAGGUGUGUAAACUACCCUAUGAGAAAGGAGAGGGCAAGGCUGGUGCCAGCCGCCGCGGUAAAACCAGCUCUUCAAGUGGUCGGGACUUUUAUUGGGCUUAAAGUGUCCGUAGCCGGUUUGAUAAGUUCCUGGUAAAAUCUGGCAGCUUAACUGUCAGUUCGCUAGGAAUACUAUCUUACUAGAGGGUGGGAGAGGUCUGAGGUACUCCAGGGGUAGCGGUGAAAU
rnacentral:rRNA from 1 species